UGUGCGGCCCUGCGCAACAGUCAGGUGUGAAUCUCGUCAGGUCCGGAAGGAAGCAGCGAUAAGCGUUUUGCCUGUGUGCCGCAGCAAGCCGUUCACGG
rnacentral:SRP_RNA from 1 species